CGAUAAGGUGGUGGCCAUAACUGCAAAAGAAAAAUCAAAACCUAAUUAGUAUAUGAAUUAAUUAAACCUAAAGAUAUAAUUUUUAGUCUAAAGGUUCUCCCACUAUUUUAUUCAAAUUAAUAGUCUCUACCUCCAAUUUGAGAAAGUACACUAAUUCCUUAAUGGGUAUCAGAAUCCACAUAGACUGCACAUAGGCCUGAGUGUGGCUCGACCAAUGCUUGUGCAACUAUAGGUAGGUUCUUAACUAAUUAUUUCAUCAAACAAUUUCUAGCAUUCAAUUUUGCCCCAGACACCUCUUUAGCAGGCAUGUGGCGCCUUCACUGAA
rnacentral:lncRNA from 1 species